rnacentral:rRNA from 1 species
UGUCGUCAGCUCGUGUUGUGAAAUGUUGGGUUAAGUCCCGCAACGAGCGCAACCCUUAUCCUUUGUUGCCAGCGGUUCGGCCGGGAACUCAAAGGAGACUGCCAGUGAUAAACUGGAGGAAGGUGGGGAUGACGUCAAGUCAUCAUGGCCCUUACGAGUAGGGCUACACACGUGCUACAAUGGCAUAUACAAAGAGAAGCGACCUCGCGAGAGCAAGCGGACCUCAUAAAGUAUGUCGUAGUCCGGAUUGGAGUCUGCAACUCGACUCCAUGAAGUCGGAAUCGCUAGUAAUCGUGGAUCAGAAUGCCACGGUGAAUACGUUCCCGGGCCUUGUACACACCGCCCGUCACACCAUGGGAGUGGGUUGCAAAAGAAGUAGGUAGCUUAACCUUCGGGAGGGCGCUUACCACUUUGUGAUUCAUGACUGGGGUGAAGUCGUAACAAGGUAACCGUAGGGGAACCUGCGGUUGGAUCACCUCCUUA